rnacentral:rRNA from 1 species
CCUACGGGUGGCAGCAGUGGGGAAUAUUGGGCAAUGGGCGCAAGCCUGACCCAGCAACGCCGCGUGAAGGAAGAAGGCUUUCGGGUUGUAAACUUCUUUUAAGAGGGAAGAGCAGAAGACGGUACCUCUUGAAUAAGCCACGGCUAACUACGUGCCAGCAGCCGCGGUAAUACGUAGGUGGCAAGCGUUGUACGGAUUUACUGGGUGUAAAGGGCGUGUAGCCGGGCUGACAAGUCAGAGGUGAAAUUCCGGGGCUCAACCCCGGACCUGCAUUUGAAACUGUGGGUCUGGAGUGUCGGAGAGGCAGGUGGAAUUCCAGGUGUAGGGGGGAAAGGCGUAGAUAUUAGGAGGAACACCAGUGGCGAAGGCGACCGGCUGGCCGACAACUGACGGUGAGGCGCGAAAGCGUGGGGAGCAAACAGGAUUAGAUACCCGAGUAGUC